GUUGAAACACCAGUUCCCGUACGAUAACAGAAGUUAAGCAAUGUCGAGACUGGCCAGUACCAAGAUGGGUAACUCUUUUGGAAACCAGAUGCUGUAA